GCGGGCGUAGCUCAGUUGGUAGAGCGACAGCCUUCCAAGCUGUAGGUCGCGGGUUCGAGCCUCGUCGCCCGCUCGA
rnacentral:tRNA from 1 species